UACGUAGGGGGCAAGCGUUGUCCGGAAUCAUUGGGCGUAAAGCGCGUGUAGGCGGCCCGAUAAGUCCGCUGUGAAAGUCCAGGGCUCAACCCUGGAAUGCCGGUGGAUACUGUCGGGCUCGAGUCCGGAAGAGGCGAGUGGAAUUCCUGGUGUAGCGGUGAAAUGCGCAGAUAUCGGGAGGAACACCUAUGGCGAAGGCAGCUCGCUGGGACGUUACUGACGCUGAGACGCGAAAGCGUGGGGAGCAAACAGG
rnacentral:rRNA from 1 species